GACCGGAUGCGGAUCUCGAAAGCCUGUCCCAGUUCGGACUGGAGUCUGCAACCCGACUCCACGAAGUUGGAUUCGCUAGUAAUCGCGCAUCAGCCAUGGCGCGGUGAAUACGUUCCCGGGCCUUGUACACACCGCCCGUCAAGCCAUGGGAGCCGGGGGCGCCUGAAGUCCGGGACCGCGAGGACCGGCCUAGGGCGAAACUGGUAACCGGGGCUAAGUCGUAACAAGGUACC
rnacentral:rRNA from 1 species